rnacentral:rRNA from 1 species
UGGGAACCUUCCCUAUGGUUCGGAAUAGCUCAGGGAAACUUGGGGUAAUACCGGAUAAGCCCUUCGGGGGAAAGAUUUAUCGCCAUUGGACGGGCCCGCGUCGGAUUAGCUAGUUGUUGAGGUAACGGCUCACCAAGGCAAACGAUCCGUAGCUGGUCUGAGAGGAUGAUCAGCCACACUGGGACUGAGACACGGCCCAGACCUCCGUACGGGAGGCAG